AUAUACUACUAAACACUAGAGGGCGUACUCGCUCAAAUUGCUGCUCCGAGCUGGAGCGGUGGCCGCCAUUACUAAGGAGGGCAGAAAAACGGACGACCCAACAAGAUACUGUGCACAACAUACGUGGAAAAAUUGAAGAAGCCAGGUUCGUGCGUUGCAUUUGGAUGUUCGAACCGAAGAAAGAAAGGGAACUGCAUAAUAUUUCACAAGAAUACACUCAAGAGAGGAAAGGAUGUUACACACCACAUCUCAUUCCUAGAGCUGUGCCUACUGUCUUUCCUGGACAUCCUCCCUAUAAACAGACCCAUGGCUCAAGACUCCCAGCAAAACCAUGUACAACAUCCGAAAGUGUUCCCGUGCCUCCAAAGAAACCCUAUGACAUUACAAAAGAACAUGACUAUUCUUUUUCUGUCUGAGUUGAUUAGAAACUGAAUAUAACCAGACAGCAAGUGCAGGAUGCCAAGAAA